rnacentral:rRNA from 1 species
CCUACGGGAGGCAGCAGUGGGGAAUAUUGGGCAAUGGGCGCAAGCCUGACCCAGCAACGCCGCGUGAAGGAAGAAGGCUCUCGGGUUGUAAACUUCCUUUGUCAGGGACGAAGCAAGUGACGGUACUUUACGAAUAAGCCACGGCUAACUACGUGCCAGCAGCCGCGGGAAUACGUAGGUGGCAAGCGUUAUCCGGAUUUACUGGGUGUAAAGGGCGUGUAGGCGGGGAGGCAAGUCAGAGGUGAAAACCACGGGCUCAACUUGUGGCCUGCAUGUGAAACUGUUUUUCUUGAGUGCUGGAGAGGCAAUCGGAAUUCCGGGUGUAGCGGUGAAAUGCGUAGAUAUACGGAGGAACACCAGUGGCGAAGGCGGAUUGCUGGACAGUAACUGACGCUGAGGCGCGAAAGCGUGGGGAGCAAACAGGAUUAGAUACCCCAGUAGUC